CGCGUAGGCGGCGUGUUAAGUCGGAUGUGAAAGCCCCGGGCUCAACCUGGGAACUGCACCCGAUACUGGCAGGCUAGAGUACGAGAGAGGGAGGUAGAAUUCCACGUGUAGCGGUGAAAUGCGUAGAUAUGUGGAGGAAUACCGGUGGCGAAGGCGGCCUCCUGGCUCGAUACUGACGCUGAGGUGCGAAAGCGUGGGGAGCAAACA
rnacentral:rRNA from 1 species